AACGUAGGUUCCGAGCGUUAUCCGGAUUUACUGGGCGUAAAGCGCGUUCAGGCGGUUUGGCAAGUCGGGCAUGAAAUCUCUCGGCUCAACCGGGAGAGGUUGUCCGAUACUUCCAGACUUGAGGGCAGUAGAGGGUGGUGGAAUUCCGGGUGUAGUGGUGAAAUGCGUAGAUAUCCGGAGGGACACCAGUGGCGAAAGCGGCCACCUGGACUGCACCUGACGCUGACACGCGAAAGCUAGGGGAGCGAACGGG
rnacentral:rRNA from 1 species